rnacentral:telomerase_RNA from 1 species
CAAGAUGGGAAGAACCUUUACCAGGAGUUUAGCGAGUGAACACUAUGUGCCUAGAAGGCAGCAAAGUUGUUUCGUGGUAACCUAACCGUUGUUUGUAAAAUUUGACUUCCUCUCUGUUUCGUUACAGUUUCUUCGAGGAAACGUUGGUUUGUUCGCCCUUCUUCCAACAUCAAAAAAAAUUCUUGGAAGGGUAUUCUCGCUAAACUCUUAUUUUUU